rnacentral:rRNA from 1 species
AACGAACGCUGGCGGCAUGCCUAACACAUGCAAGUCGAACGAGACCUUCGGGUCUAGUGGCGCAUGGGUGCGUAACGCGUGGGAACCUGCCCUUAGGUUCGGAAUAACUCCCCAAAAGGGGUGCUAAUACCGGUUAAUGUCUUCGGACCAAAGAUUUAUCGCCUUUGGAUGGGCCCGCGUGGGAUUAGCCAGUUGGUAGGGUAAAAGCCUACCAAGGCGACGAUCCAUAGCUGGUCUGAGAGGAUGACCAGCCACACUGGGACUGAGACACGGCCCAGACUCCUACGGAGAGCAGCAGUGGGGAAUAUUAGCCGAUGGGCGAGAGCCUGAUACAGCAAUGCCGCGUGAGUGAUGAAGGUCUUAGGGUUGUAAAGCUCUUUUACCCGGGAUGAUAAUGACAGUACCGGGAGAAUAAGCUCCGGCUAACUACGUG